rnacentral:rRNA from 1 species
UACAGAGGGUGCUAGCGUUGUUCGGAAUCAUUGGGCGUAAAGGGCGUGUAGGCGGUUUGUUAAGUCAUGUGUGAAAUCCCUCGGCUCAACCGGGGAACGACGCAUGAAACUGGCAAGCUAGAGUACCAAAGAGGGGGGUGGAAUUCCCGGUGUAGCGGUGAAAUGCGUAGAUAUCGAGAGGAACACCGGUGGCGAAGGCGGCGAUCUGGACGAUGACUGACGCUGAGACGCGAAAGCGUGGGGAGCAAACAGG